CCGCCCUCUCCGCUUCUCACCGCUUCCCUUCCAUUGAAAUGAAUGAGAAGCGGUGUUUCACUGCACGGCAUCUUGUGCUAGUAUAUCAUGCCCUCGGCUACCUGGUUAAAACGCUUGCUCAGUAGCCUAACUUCCUUUCAUUGGCAACGAUGAACCAGCGAGUUGACAUUAGCCUACUAUAUAUAGCUACAUAUUGAACUUCUAUCCUCUCAGGCUAUCAACCUCAAGAGGCAUCAUGGGGAGCAGCUAGGAGCAGUUCUCAUCUAUAAUGAAGCCAGGGAGCUUGUUGAAGAGGCAGCCAUGCUUUUAGGAGUCCACAAAAUAAACGCUUCAAGGGACAAGGACACCAAGGAGCACAGCUAUCAACAGAAAGCCUUCACAAAGAGAAAGAUAUUUAGGCUCGUUUUAAAGGAGCCCAGAGUCCGUGGUGACUGUCCGUGGUGACUGUCCGUGGUGACUUCAGGUGGUCCGGGAGGGCAUUCCAGAGGCAUCUUCCUACGCUCUUAAAAAAGAGGUGCUGUCUAGAACAGGAAAGUGUUAUUUGGCUGUCCUCAUAGGAGAGCCCUUUGAACAACUAGUUUUGGUUCCGG
ensembl:lncRNA